rnacentral:rRNA from 1 species
CACGUAGGGUGCGAGCGUUGUCCGGAAUUAUUGGGCGUAAAGAGCUCGUAGGCGGUGUGUCGCGUCGGCCGUGAAAACCUGCAGCUUAACUGUGGGCUUGCGGUCGAUACGGGCAUCACUGGAGUUCGGCAGGGGAGACUGGAAUUCCUGGUGUAGCGGUGAAAUGCGCAGAUAUCAGGAGGAACGCCGGUGGCGAAGGCGGGUCUCUGGGCCGAUACUGACGCUGAGGAGCGAAAGCGUGGGGAGCGAACAGG